rnacentral:lncRNA from 1 species
AAUUCUAAUAUGACGAUCUUCUUUCGAUUUGUGAACAAACCCAUGCUCUAAAUCCAAUAAAAUUUGUUUGCACAUGUGUAUAUUGACUUCUUCAGAAUAAUGAAUUUUAUCAAAUUAUCAUGCACUUAAUAUAUUUCCUUAACUUUAAAACACUUUCAAACUCUUUAAUGGUGCACAUGAUGUUACUUAUUCAUUUAUUAUGACUGUAAUGUGUUGCAUUCCGAAAUUGACAUAUUUGACCUAGAUACGACAACCGUUCAUGCUUGUUGUUCAAACUCCUCCCUCUGAAAAAAAUCACUGUGCCGGCCGUUUGCUUAUUUACAAACAAAAAAGGGAGGUUCAUGGAAGAGCCUACACAAACGCUUUUACACUUAUACUUAUCGGACAUAGAAAUUACCUUAUU